rnacentral:rRNA from 1 species
CAGUUAAAAAGCUCGUAGUUGGAUUUCUAGCGGACGCGUCUGGUCUGCUCCGCGAGGAGUCGGUACUGAGUCGUCGUCUGUUAUCCUUGAGGAGAAUAUUCCUGGCAUUAAGUUGUCGGGAGUAGUAUCCUCAUCGUUUACUGUGAAAAAAUUAGAGUGUUCAAAGCAAGCUUAGGCUCUGAAUAUAUUAGCAUGGAAUAAUAAGAUAAGACCCUGGUGGUUUAUUUUGUUGGUUUGCACGCCGAGGUAAUGAUUAAUAGGGAUAGUUGGGGGUAUUCGUAUUCAAUUGUCAGAGGUGAAAUUCUUGGAUUUAUGGAAGACGAACUACUGCGAAAGCAUUUACCAAGGAUGUUUUAUUAAUCAAGAACGAAAGUUAGGGGAUCGAAGAUGAUUAGAUACCAUCGUAGUCUUAACCAUAAACUAUGCCGACUCGGGAUUGGCGGUCGUUUCUAUCCGACUCCGUCAGCACCGUAUGAGAAAUCAAAGUCUUUGGGUUCCGGGGGGAGUAUGGUCGCAAGGCUGAAACUUAAAGAAAU